rnacentral:rRNA from 1 species
UACAGAGGGGGCAAGCGUUAUUCGGAAUUAUUGGGCGUAAAGGGCGCGUAGGCGGCUUGGCAAGUGGAAGGUGAAAUCCCUCGGCUUAACCGAGGAACUGCCCUCCAAACUGCUGCGCUUGAGACCGGGAGAGGUGAGUGGAAUUCCCAGUGUAGCGGUGAAAUGCGUAGAUAUUGGGAGGAACACCAGUGGCGAAGGCGGGUCACUGGACCGGUACUGACGCUGAUGCGCGAAAGCGUGGGGAGCAAACGGG